rnacentral:rRNA from 1 species
UACGGAGGGUGCAAGCGUUAUCCGGAUUCACUGGGUUUAAAGGGAGCGCAGGCGGGCUGGUAAGUCAGUGGUGAAAGCCUUGAGCUUAACUCGAGAACUGCCAUUGAUACUAUCAGUCUUGAAUAUUGUUGAGGUUUGCGGAAUGGGUCAUGUAGCGGUGAAAUGCAUAGAUAUGACCCGGAACACCUAUUGCGAAGGCAGCAGGCUAAACAAAGAAUUGACGCUGAGGCUCGAAAGCGUGGGGAUCAAACAGG